rnacentral:rRNA from 1 species
CCUACGGGUGGCAGCAGUGAGGAAUAUUGGUCAAUGGGCGCGCGCCUGAACCAGCCAAGUCGCGUGAGGGAAGACUGUCCUAUGGAUUGUAAACCUCUUUUGUCGGGGAGCAAUAGACGCCACGCGUGGCGUUCCGAGAGUACCCUAAGAAAAAGCCACGGCCAACUCCGUGCCAGCAGCCGCGGUAACACGGAGGAUGCGAGAGUUUUCCGGAUUUAUUUGGGUUAAAGGGUGCGCAGGCGGAAGAUAAAGUCAGCGGUAAAAUUGCGAGGCUCAACCUACUCGAGCCGUUGAAACUGGUUUUCUUGAGUGAGUGAGAAGUAGGCGGAAUGCGUGGUGUAGCGGUGAAAUGCAUAGAUAUCACGCAGAACUCCGAUUGCGAAGGCAGCAUACCGGCGCUCAACUGACGCUGAAGCACGAAAGUGUGGGUAUCGAACAGGAUUAGAUACCCGAGUAGUC